rnacentral:rRNA from 1 species
ACGUAGGGUGCGAGCGUUAAUCGGAAUUACUGGGCGUAAAGCGUGCGCAGGCGGUUUUGUAAGACAGAUGUGAAAUCUCCGGGCUCAACUUGGGAACUGCCUUUGUGACUGCAUGGCUAGAGUAUGGUUGCGGGGGAUGGAAUUCCGCGUGUAGCAGUGAAAUGCGUAGAUAUGCGGAGGAACACCGAUUGCGAAGGCAAUCCACAGGACCUGUACUGACGCUCAUGCACGAAAGUGUGGGGAGCAAACAG